GGCAGGAAGGUUAGGCCACUGGCAAAGUCCUCAGCGAGAGCCAGCUGAUCACAAAUGCCAACUGUGUGUCUUGGGGCCAGUUAAGUCCUCUCGUCUGCCCAAGCUCUCAGGACACCAUUUCAUUGCUCUCAGGGUUCCCAGGAGACUGCUGCGGACACGGACCAUCCCCCACUUGGCCCGCAUGGAUGGGGUGCUGAGCAGCGUCUUCAAAGUGCUCUUUCUCACCUCAAGUUUCCAUUUUAAAUAGUAAAAUGCUGGAGCUAGGAGAUAGGCAGAUAUUUUUCUCUCAUAUCAAAAAAGGAAGACCGUAAGCUAGGUGAUUAGCUGUAAGUGGGAAGCGAACUAUCAUCUCCAGUAGGAAUACUCACUUUUUGAGGAAGUGUGUGGAAGUUCUGCAGUCCCACCUUGCCCUAUGACCUUUAAUUCUCUUAGUUCUUCUGCCACAGGGAAGCACCGAACGACUAAUAAAAGAUUUGAUCUUGCCAUAAUUUCCCAAGCAGGGAUCAACAAAUUGAUAAAGCAAACUCAGAGGCCACAUCUUAUUAGACAGCAAGCUGCCUUCUUCUUUAUUAUGGGAAAUACCCAGGAGAAGAUUCCUCUCCCCAUACACACCUGUGAUUUUCAAGUCCUUUUAUUCAUGCCUUUAAAUGAAAGGGUUGAGUAUACAAGACUCAGAUUCAUACCUUCCACAAAGCUGGAGGAAAAUGAAGAGCAAGAUGGCCGCAUCCCAGUCUGUGGAACCCAUUUCCCCAAAGCCUAAGCUUCCUUGGAGACCACCUUGUCUCAACUUAGGCAAUUUCAGGAAUGUAACAGAGAUCUAAGAAGAGGGUGUCACAACAGCAGCUUACCUGUGAUGAAAGGACAGAUGCAUUCCUUUCUUUCAUUUUCCUUCACUCUAGCCAGUGGCAGCCACUGCCUCAGGUUUUAUUUACCUUUCCUCAGGCCUGAUGAGGACAUUAUGUUCUUAAGAGAUCCCUUAAGGUUGUUUCAAAGGAACAAAAGAGUAGCGAGCAAAAGAAAAAAUCAUUAUAAUGAAAAAAAUGUUUUCCUUUAUCUCCUAUUUUUUUUUUUUUGGUAUGUUUUUGAGAGAUGUGAAGGAAAGAAAAGUACACCAUUUUCCCCCUAGAAUAAGAUUUUGGAUCAUUGCUGCAUUUGAUUACAUAUUUCUGCAAACUCUGUGUUCUUGAAGAAAACUAUAUUUUCUCAUGUUUUUUUUUUAAUGGAUGCCUGUGCCAAAAUUUGGCUCUCAUUUCACAGCAGAAAGGAGAGACUGCAUAGAUCCCAAAACUAUGAGCUGUAUGCGUUCCUCCUGCAAACUAUCCCCUAAUCAGGCAUCAAAAGUGUCUCAUUUUUGAGGUUAUAUUAAAUCUUUUUGUAUUUCCCUUUCUGUCCUAGAUGUUACAUGUCAGGAUGCAGCCAGAAUAGGUGUAACAUACCAUAGAGACUGUUGUUUGGUGCAGAGGGAGACACAGAGUUUGAUCAACACCUGCUUGCUGAGGUGGGCUGGAGCCCAGGAGAGCUGCUGCAGGGAUAGGAACAGAGUCUGGCAGGAAAUGUGUAAUAUUUAGGGGACAUUGAUUCAGAGAUCCCUAGAGUGCUACAAGAAAGAGUUUGAAAUUGAGAAGGAAUCAAGUAGAUGCACAUUCUGACUCUAACAUUAAUUUUCAUUGGAGUUCUUUAAGAUUUCAUUUGAAAAAAAUAGAAUUCUGUUGCAAGAAGAAAGAAGAAAAGGAAAGAGAAUAAUUAGAUGAUGAUGAUGAUGAUGAUGAUGAUGAUUUUGGGACUGGGGAGUAAUCCAGGGGUGCUUAACCACUGAGCCCCAUCCACAGCCCUUUUUUGUAUUUUAUUUAGCGACAAGGUCUCACUAAAUUACUUAGGGCCUCCCUAAGUUGCUGAGGCUUGCUUUUAAAUCAUGAUUCUUCUGUCUUAGCCUCCAGAGCUGCCGGUAUUACAGAUGUGCGGCACCAUUUUAAUAAUUAUUGAGACAGUUUAAAAUAGGAUAGUCUGGUUCACAAUAUGUCAUCCAUAUUAUCUGUGCUUGGCACAUAGUGGGCAUUUGGUGCAUAAUUCAGCAAUUUCAUUUAAAAAUUGUCUGAAUAAAUAAAUGAAAUAAAUAAAUGAAAGUAUCACAGAUCAGUUGUUAACAGGUGAGCUGAGACUAUGUAAUGGGAUAUAGCAACAGAUAAACAGAGAACAGUAUUGAUUAAUUCAAAAGGUAAAAAGGCAGACAGGUAGUGCCUAAGUCUGCUGACUGGAAGUAAGGUCCUAGACAUUGGGGCACAUUCUGGGGCCUGGGAGAGGGCCUGGGUAGAGGAGGGCAGGCUGAAUUAUGACAGCAGACAAAGCAGGGAUUGACCUAGCACUUGCAGCAAAAUAGGAAUGCAGUUUUCAAAGGUGACACUAGGCUAGGGGCAGACUUUCAGAAGGGAGACUCAAGUACUUAAGUUGGUCCCACCUAAUCUGAUAGGCUCUGGGAGCUGGGGUGAAUUGGCAAACAAUCUCAGUCAUGAUUAGAACUUGGGGACAGAAGCUAAAAUCCAGCCUGGGUUUUCACUUAAUCUCUUUUCCCAUGUUACCAGCAAUAAACUCAGUUUCCUAAGUUUAUUCGGCAAUUUCUUUUAUCUUUAAAAAGGUUUCAUUGGGGAAAAAUCACAGCUGGGUAAGGGAAAAGGUGACUUUUAGAGGCAAGAGAAAGAAUUGAGGGAGCUCUAUAAGCCAUUUCACAUCUCACAUCGAAGAGUUUGAAAGCCACUGAUACAAUACCUACCAGGUAACUUCUUCACAUUCACAGUUAUCACGAGUGAAUGAAGUAAAUUAACUUUCUGGACAAAAAGUCUGAUCACACAAAACAAAAUGUUCUUUAUCAGAGUGCCAUGAAAUAUGGAGCAUUCUCUACAAUGCAAUAAUACAGUAUUUACCAAGAAGAUUAAGAUUAUACUUUUAUUUAAUUAAUGUUUACUAUGAGACUGUACAUGCUCAUGAUAAAAUAUUUAAACAGGGUAGAAAUAAAGUAAAUGUGGUCUUCUUCCUUUGUUCAGUAUCAUUCACAAGAAUGUCAAAAAGUGUAUUAUAAAUGGUUUUAAAAAUAUUCUAUAAAUAAGCAAAUGUAUGUGUUUGUAUUUUUCUUACACAAGUGGAAUCAUAACAUAUUGAAGUUUUGCAACCUGUUUUCUGUAAAUAAUAUUUCUUGAACUUCUUUCUAUGAAGGGACAUAUUGAUCUACAGAUCUACUUACUACAUUAAUCUAUAUAAUAUUCCAUCUUCAUGUAAGUUGUAUUG
rnacentral:lncRNA from 1 species